GAUUCCCCCAGUAACGGCGAGUGAAGAGGGAAGAGCUCAAGCUGCCAAUCUGGACUUUGUUGUACAAGUCCCGAAUUGUAGUCUGAAGGUGUUUUCUAUGAUAGCUCUGCGUCAAAGUCCCUUGGAAAGGGGCACCAGAGAGGGUGAGAGUCCCGUGCCUGGCGUGGAGUGAAUCUUUCUGAUCUCACCAGAGAGUCGGGUUGCUCGGGAUUGCAGCCUGAAUGGGAGGUAAAUUUCUCCUAAAGCUAAAUACUGGCGAGAGACCGAUAGCGAACAAGUACCGUGAGGGAAAGAUGCAAAGAACUUUGAAAAGAGAGUUAAAGAGUGCCUGAACUUGUUGGGGGGAAAGCGUUUGCGCCCAGUGUGCCGUCGUCGAUUCAGCCUUUUAGGGGUGCACUUUGGCGUCGGCGGCCAGGGUGGGUUGGGCGCGCGCGUGACGGCCCCCGUGAGGCCUUUUGGGCGACCGGGUGGCUUGUGCGUGCUCCUGACUGAGGCUCGCUCUGCGUGGGUGUCGUCUGCGCGGUGUAGUGUGUCACAAGCAACUUGUGUUCGCGCAUCGCAAAGGUUAAGCCCUCUGUGAGCGUGACCCUGGCGAAAUGGUCGCAACCGACCCGUCUAGAAACACGGACCAAGGAGUCUGACGAAUGCGCGAGUCUUUGGGUGGUAACCCCAUGGGCGGAAUGAAAGUGAGAGGUGUUCAGCACCGACCGACCGUGAUCUCCUGUGAAUGGUUUGAGUGUGAGCGUAUUCGCCGGGACCCGAAAGAUGGUGAACUAUGCCUGAGUAGGGUGAAGCCUGAAGAAAUUCAGGUGGAGGCUCGUAGCGAUACUGACGUGCAAAUCGUUCGUCGAACUUGGGUAUAGGGGCGAAAGACUAAUCGAACCAUCUAGUAGCUGGUUCCCUCCGAAGUUUCCCUCAGGAUAGCUGGAGCUCGUUCAGUUUUGUCAGGUAAAGCGAAUGAUUAGAGGCCUUGGGGCUGAAACAGCCUUAACCUAUUCUCAAACUUUAAAUGGGCAAGGCGGUGGGUGCUUGAUUGACCCGCCGCAUCGAAUGGGAGCUCCAAGUGGGCCAUUUUUGGUAAGCAGAACUGGCGAUGCGGGAUCAACCGAACGUCGAGUUAAGGUGCCCAAGUGUCCGCUCAUCAGACUCCCCAAAAGCUGUUGGUUCAUUUAGACAGCAGGACGGUGGCCAUGGAAGUCGGAAUCCGCUAAGGAGUGUGUAACAACUCACCUGCCGAAUGAACUAGCGCUGAAAAUGGAUGGCGCUCAAGCGGACCACCGAUACUCGACCACUGUCGCGAGCGCUUUGCGUCAGUGAGUAGGAGGGCGUGGAGCUCGUGAGGCAGCCGUUGG
rnacentral:rRNA from 1 species